rnacentral:rRNA from 1 species
AGAGUUUGAUCCUGGCUCAGGACGAACGCUGGCGGCGUGCUUAACACAUGCAAGUCGAGCGGAAAGGCCCUUCGGGGUACUCGAGCGGCGAACGGGUGAGUAACACGUGAGUAAUCUGCCCCUAGCUCUGGGAUAGCUCCGGGAAACCGGGAUUAAUACCGGAUACGACCACUACAGACAUCUGUUCUGGUGGAAAGAAUUUCGGCUAGGGAUGAGCUCGCGGCCUAUCAGCUUGUUGGUGGGGUAACGGCCUACCAAGGCGACGACGGGUAGCCGGCCUGAGAGGGCGACCGGCCACACUGGGACUGAGACACGGCCCAGACUCCUACGGGAGGCAGCAGUGGGGAAUAUUGCGCAAUGGGCGAAAGCCUGACGCAGCGACGCCGCGUGGGGGAUGAAGGCCUUCGGGUUGUAAACCCCUUUCAGCAGGGACGAAGCGAAAGUGACGGUACCUGCAGAAGAAGCGCCGGCUAACUACGUGCCAGCAGCCGCGGUAACACGUAGGGCGCAAGCGUUGUCCGGAAUUAUUGGGCGUAAAGAGCUCGUAGGCGGUCUGUUGCGUCCGCUGUGAAAACUCGGGGCUUAACCCCGAGCCUGCAGUGGAUACGGGCAGACUAGAGGUAGGUAGGGGAGAAUGGAAUUCCCGGUGUAGCGGUGAAAUGCGCAGAUAUCGGGAGGAACACCGGUGGCGAAGGCGGUUCUCUGGGCCUUACCUGACGCUGAGGAGCGAAAGCGUGGGGAGCGAACAGGAUUAGAUACCCUAGUAGUCC